GAACAAAUGAGCUCUUCUUUAUGGAUCAUCUAACCUCAUUGUAGAAGAAAAUAAGACUUGUAUGUAGAGGAACAAAGCAGACAUAGGAAUUCCCAAGGUCCUCCAACUUCAUGGAAAGAUAAGACAUGCAGGCAUCUCACAGGUGAUACUGGAGGCAGAGUGGCAUCAAGCUCUGUCUGGGCUGUGCACUUGCAGGGAUUUAAAAAGAAAGGUUACCCAAGAUAAUGCUUGGGAACACGCUAAGAAACUUAGAAAUUGGUCUCACCUUCAGCUUCGGAUCCCUUGGAAAUCCUGUCCCAUAUAGCAGAAGGAAAGCACCAUCAUUACCCCUCAAAAAAUAAGCUGGUAUGCCCAAGGUCCU